rnacentral:rRNA from 1 species
UAGGGAAUCUUCCACAAUGGGCNCAAGCCUGAUGGAGCAACACCGCGUGAGUGAAGAAGGGUUUCGGCUCGUAAAGCUCUGUUGUUAAAGAAGAACACGUAUGAGAGUAACUGUUCAUACGUUGACGGUAUUUAACCAGAAAGUCACGGCUAACUACGUGCCAG